AUGAACUUCGAGAACUUUUGGAUCAAAAUGCACGGGUUCCUAUCUACUGUCCAGGAGGUGUGGAAUGAAGAUCACAACCAUGUAGAGCCAUACCAUGUGUUACACCACAAGCUGAAGAAGACUAGCAUCAGGCUAAAAGUGUGGAGUAAAACUCUCUUCUCAAACGCGAAAGUCCAGCUCCACAUGGCUCUAGAGAUUAUCCUUCGCCUUGACGUUGCCCAAGAAUCACGAGCCCUCAGCUUGGGGGAGCUUGACCUCCGUGGGUUGGGUUUCGGCCCUUCUAUCUACGGCCUCUUCGAGGGUUUUGCUUGUGGCACAGUUGACGAUUCCAUCAAACACGGGAAGGGCCUAAGGCAAGGGGCCCCGUUGUCUCCUCUCCUUUUUGUGCUUGCCAUCGGCCCCCUGCACCACAUCUUGCACAAAGCCACAGUGCAAGGAAAGCUCCAACCGCUUCAUGGAAAUCCGGCAACUCUCCGUGCUUCUCUGUAUGUCGAUGACACUGUUGUUUUUAUUAAGCCAGACAAGGAAGAUGUUAGUUUCCUUGCCUCCACUCUUGACACGUUUGGGGAGGUCACGGGCUUGGUCACCAACUGCAACAAAGAGCCUGAAGAACCGGGAUUACCUUGGGCUUCAGAUAGCAGAAACAGCAGGACCUCCUCCGUCUUCAAAUGCAACAUUCUUACUUCCUCCAAUUAUUGGGUUGCUUGCAUAAUGCGUGCCGCUAAUUCCGUAAUUUCCAGCCUCAAGAUAAAGAUUACCUCAUUCAUGGCAGCCACACCAUCUCUUUCUGCCUCUAGUAGAGCCUCAAGCACUAUAAUAUCUGUGCUCAGACUGCUCUCCGGCGGUGUUGCCUCUGAACUGCUACCAUCUGGUAACAUGGAUGGCGCACUGCUUCCACAAAUAGAUUCUGGGGUUGUACAAUGUGUCCUAGUGUGA
rnacentral:rRNA from 1 species